rnacentral:rRNA from 1 species
UACGUAGGGUGCGAGCGUUGUCCGGAAUUAUUGGGCGUAAAGAGCUCGUAGGCGGUUUGUCACGUCUGCUGUGAAAACUCGGGGCUCAACCCCGAGCCUGCUUCCGAUACGGGCAGACUAGAGGUAUGCAGGGGAGAAUGGAAUUCCUGGUGUAGCGGUGAAAUGCGCAGAUAUCAGGAGGAACACCGGUGGCGAAGGCGGUUCUCUGGGCAUUACCUGACGCUGAGGAGCGAAAGUGUGGGGAGCGAACAGG